AACCUGGAACCCUCUUGCUGUGAGGCAACAGUGCCGUGCCGCCCCAGAAGGAUCCACCAGCAGUCCUGCAGUCCUGCAGCGCAGCGACGGCACCACGCCAACCUGUGCUGGGCUCCCACCACAGCCUCAUCCAAAAUGCUUAAUCAAAAGGGACACUCUCCCAAUUUGGUCCCUCAUGAAAAGGAAGCUGUUAGCCCAUGCUGUGCGCCUUGGCAGCAUGACAGAGAAUUGCCCAGAUUGGUCUGCAACACUGCGAGGACAUUGGAGAGGAGGCUUCUGAUACAAUCUGCAUUUUCUAGCAGGAAGCUGUGACGCACAGGAUGGAUGAGCCCCAGUAAACUGACGUCUCCGGCAGAAACAGGCAGGAUGCUGAGUUAUGACCAACCACUCUGAAGUGAGUAGAGGUGUGUGUGGGGUUAUUUUACAGCAGACAUUUGUACAUGAUUUAAUGAAGGUAAACACAGUGGACGAUUGGGCAUAACGGUGCUACACGCUGGUGCAGCACUUUUCUUUAGGUGACUGCAGGGACUUAAUGAAUUGAACAAGAGGCAGAGUAAGGCAGCUGCAGACAGCAGAUACGGUGAGAAACAUGUUCAUUUAAAGAUAAGUGCAGACUGAUUUACUGACGUCCCUGCUUUAACCACAUUAAUCUUGAUUCUUUGAUCUCCUCACAGUGUGUGUGGGUGUUUCAAUGAAAUAGUGGUCAGCAGUAUUGUGUAAUUACUGCACAUUUGCUGCAAGUAUUUAUUUUGCUCUUAUUGAUUAACUAAGAAAAAAGCAGAUGCCGUUGCAACAGAAACAAACCCAUUUUCCAGACAGUCUGAAACAUGCCAGCUGACAGUCGUACCCUGAUUAGGUGUGAAACAUGUUAGCGCCUUUUCCUAAACUGAACAGUUUGUGUGCCUGAACCUGUGUGAACGUCAAGUGCUCCUCCCGUCAAUCCACCCUGACCCCCUCCCCACGCAGACUUUGUUGUUCUCUAUACUUUGUUAUGCUUUGCUCUCAUCGUUGUUGCCCUCUCCUGGUACUGUGCCUUCACACACACGAGUGCUUUUCACAGCUGGGAGAUGCACGUGAUGCCGACGAACAAAAAUAGGGCCCUUUGACACUUUCAUGUGUCACACCUAUUUUUUUAAAAUCAGUGAACAUAAGUUGGCUUUUUUGAAUUAGUCAUCAAGCUGUAUGAAACUGCUAGCCCUGGCCAAUUUUAAAGCAGGAUGCACAACAUUUACAAAAGAAAAUCUUAAUGGAGUUUAACCCCUCACAUUUUCUAAAUGAACCUUGAACCUGAUUCAGGAGGAGGCUUUAAUGCUGACAGUCCCUGGGACGGAAUAAAUAUACUGCAUUAGAUUCAAGGGGGCAAAUGAGUGAACAGACAGGAAAACAGGCAACAAUGGUGAAAACCCUUGCCGGUAAAUAUCUCUUAAUUAACAUUCCUCCUUCAUUGUUGAGAAAACAUUUCAAACACGUUCCCAUGCUGCGUGAUAUAAAGUGUUCAAAGUGAAACCCUGAAGUAAAGUGUUAUUAUUGAUCAUAUAGAAUAUCUGACAGUAACCAAUACUUUUUAUCUUGCUGCCACGUAUUCUACCUCUGCAGCAGAUCUCAUACUGUAUCAAAGCAAUCAUGUAAUACUGGAUCAGAAAGUUUAAUUAGGUCAAUGUGUUCCAAGCAUGUCUGUGAAUGGUGUUUCUCUCUUUGAACUUAAUUGUGUCAAAACACUUUUUCAUCUUAAAAAGCCCCAUCUGUGACUGCUGCAUGAUGCCUUCUUCUGAAAUCAGCGUGUGUGCGUAUUUGCUUGCACAUUAACUUUCAAGAGCGACUGUUUGUUGUUUGGAAACUCACCACCUGGUAUUAUGUGUGCAUGUUUUUAUGCUAUAAAUCUGUAAAA